rnacentral:piRNA from 1 species
UUUGCAAAGGGCUCAAACAUCUG